rnacentral:rRNA from 1 species
AAGCGUUGUUCGGAAUUAUUGGGCGUAAAGCGCGUGUAGGCGGUUUGUUAAGUCUGAUGUGAAAGCCCCGGGCUCAACCUGGGAAGUGCAUUGGAUACUGGCAGACUUGAAUACGGGAGAGGGUAGUGGAAUUCCUGGUGUAGGAGUGAAAUCCGUAGAUAUCAGGAGGAACACCGGUGGCGAAGGCGGCUGCCUGGACCGAUAUUGACGCUGAGACGCGAAAGCGUGGGGAGCAAACAGGAUUAGAUACCCUGGUAGUCCACGCCGUAAACGAUGAGUACUAGGUGUCGCGGGUAUUGACCCCUGCAGUGCC